rnacentral:rRNA from 1 species
UACACACCGCCCGUCACACCACGAAAGUUGGCAAUACCCGAAGCCGGUGGGCUAACCUCUCUGAGGAGGCAGCCGUCGAAGGUAGGGUCGAUGAUUGGGGUG